ACGGGAGGCAGCAGUGGGGAAUAUUGGGCAAUGGGCGAAAGCCUGACCCAGCGACGCCGCGUGAGGGAAGACGGUCUUCGGAUUGUAAACCUUAGUCAACAGGGAAGAAACAAAUGACGGUACCUGUGGAGGAAGCCACGGCUAACUACGUGCCAGCAGCCGCGGUAAUACGUAGGUGGCAAGCGUUAUCCGGAUUUACUGGGUGUAAAGGGUGUGUAGGCGGGAAGGCAAGUCAGAUGUGAAAACUAUGGGCUCAACUCAUAGCUUGCAUUUGAAACUGCUUUUCUUGAGGAUCGGAGAGGUAAAUGGAAUUCCCAGUGUAGCGGUGAAAUGCGUAGAUAUUGGGAGGAACACCAGUGGCGAAGGCGAUUUACUGGACGAUUACUGACGCUGAGACACGAAAGCGUGGGGAGCAAACAGGAUUAGAUACCCUGGUA
rnacentral:rRNA from 1 species